AAAGACCCUUGGCAAGAACGCGUUUGGUUUUAUUGCGAAUUGAGCUUUCUCUCUUACCGUAGGCACGCCAGUUCAAUGUAAAGCAAGUUCUACCGGUGACUACUAACUUUUUUGACUGAUGUCCAAACUACAAGAGUUGAGGCUCCACGUCGUCUAUCUGAACAUCUAGACGCCAACAUAUUUUCGAAAGCGUAAACAUUCAAUCGCAAAACAGAAGUCGGAUGGUAGUCUGCUCGGUGCCAAGUGGUUGGCCGGUGGGCCGAGUGGUGGGCCGGUGGGACGAGUGGUGAGGAGUCUGUGCUCUGGUCCUCAGCCGCCGCUGCAAGUAGCAGAGGGCUCUUCAGACAGCAAGGAGGUACGCCUGCCAAAAAGAGGUCGACUUGAGGCUUUUGGCAGGUAGCAGACCAGGAAUGCAACAACCACAGGGAGCCUGCAAAUCCAAGUCCAGAAAGUGAAUAACCUGCUACAGUUUGGCUUGAGUCUCAGGUGACCGGCA